rnacentral:rRNA from 1 species
GAACGCUGGCGGCGUGCUUAACACCUGCAAGUCGAACGGUGAAGCGCCUUCCUUUUUGGUGGGUGUGGAUGAGUGGCGAACGGGUGAGUAACACGUGAGUAACCUGCCCCCUUCUUCUGGAUAACCGCAUGAAAGUGUGGCUAAUACGGGAUAUUCUGGGUCUGUCGCAUGAUGGGUCUGGGAAAGAUAUUGUUUCGGUGGGGGAUGGGCUCGCGGCCUAUCAGCUUGUUGGUGGGGUGAUGGCCUACCAAGGCGGUGACGGGUAGCCGGCCUGAGAGGGUGGACGGUCACACUGGGACUGAGACACGGCCCAGACUCCUACGGGAGGCAGCAGUGGGGAAUAUUGCACAAUGGGCGCAAGCCUGAUGCAGCGACGCCGCGUGAGGGAUGGAGGCCUGCGGGUUGUGAACCUCUUUCGCCAGUGAAGCAGGCCUGCCUCGUUUGUGGGUGGGUUGACGGUAGCUGGAUAAGAAGCGCCGGCUAACUACGUG